UACGUAGGGCGCAAGCGUUGUCCGGAAUUAUUGGGCGUAAAGAGCUCGUAGGCGGUUUGUCGCGUCUGCUGUGAAAGCCCGGGGCUCAACCCCGGGUCUGCAGUGGGUACGGGCAGGCUAGAGUUCGGUAGGGGAGACUGGAAUUCCUGGUGUAGCGGUGAAAUGCGCAGAUAUCAGGAGGAACACCGAUGGCGAAGGCGGGUCUCUGGGCCGUAACUGACGCUGAGGAGCGAAAGCAUGGGUAGCGAACAGG
rnacentral:rRNA from 1 species